rnacentral:rRNA from 1 species
AACGAACGCUGGCGGCGGGCCUAACGCAUGCAAGUCGAGCGCCCCGCAAGGGGAGCGGCGGACGGGUGAGUAACGCGUGGGAACGUACCCUUUGCUACGGAAUAGCCUCGGGAAACUGGGAGUAAUACCGUAUGUGCCCUUCGGGGGAAGGAUUUAUCGGCAAAGGAUCGGCCCGCGUUGGAUUAGGUAGUUGGUGGGGUAAUGGCCUACCAAGCCGACGAUCCAUAGCUGGUUUGAGAGGAUGAUCAGCCACACUGGGACUGAGACACGGCCCAGAUUCCUACGGGAGGCAGCAGUGGGGAAUCUUAGACAAUGGGCGCAAGCCUGAUCUAGCCAUGCCGCGUGAGCGAUGAAGGCCUUAGGGUUGUAAAGCUCUUUCAGUGGGGAAGAUAAUGACUGUACCCACAGAAGAAGCCCCGGCUAACUCUGUGCCAGCAGCCGCCGUAACAC